UAAUUUUCUCACCAGUCUGGAGACCAAGAUGAAGCUGUCAGCAACGUUGGUUUCUUCUCUCCCUGGUUUACAGUUGGCCACCACCUUGCAUCUUCACAUGGUCAUCCCUCUGUCUGUUAUAUGUCUGUGCCCUAAUUUCUUUCUUUGUAGGACAACAGUCAUACAUGUCCCCAAGGACCCCAUUUUAACAUAAUCACCUCCUUAAAGAUCCUAUGUACAAAUACAGUUACAUUCUGAGGUGCGGGGAUUACGGCUUCAACAUACGAAUUGGGAGGCACACAACGAACCCAUAAGAAACCUUACUUUUAUAUCCCUAUGUACAACUCUGGGCUGACACAUCAAAAGUGCCCCCAAAGCGCUUCUGAGUCACUGAGUGAACGAAUGAACAGGUAUGUACUGUACAUGUUUUUCCAACCCGCAUAUAAGCUACUUGAGGACAAUGAAAGAGCACUAGCCUCGGGACUGGGGGACCUGGAUUAUUCUUCUUUGCUUUGUCAAUAUAGAAGGCGAUCUUUUUAGCAGCAACAUCAAAAGAUGCCCCUUUGGCACUUCCCUGGUGGUCCAGCAGCUUAAGACUCUGCGCUCCCAAUUCAGGGGGCUUAGAUUCAGUCCCUGGUCGGGGAACAGUUGCAUACUGCAGCUAAAGACUCUGCAUGCCACAGGAAGACUGAAGACCCCGCAUGCUGCACCUGAGACCUGACGCAGCUAAAUAAAUAAAAAAUAAAUAUUUAAAAAAUUAGCGAUAAAGAAAGAUGCCCCUUUACCUGGGGAUCUAACAUGCCUGUUCCACUCCUAAAGCAAUCAGAGAUUCAGAGCAUUCAUUAUUCACAAUGCCUAGAGCAUUUGCCAAAUUCAAGAUUUCUAUAAUUUCAACCUAAGAAAAUGCCAUCUGCUGCGCAGAAACUGAUUGUUGGCCACCCUUUAUGUGUUACAUUCUCUUCCAGUGAGAAACCACAUUUGCCUGAAGGGUGAGUGGUUCUUCCGGACCCGCUUAGUAAUCACUGGAGAAUCUAUUGUCUUAACUAGUGCAGCUUGAUAAGUCAUCAGUGUUGAUUUAAACAAAUGUUUCAGACACACUAAUUAUAGCAUUUUGGCCUUGGAAGGCACCUUAGAAAUCACGGGCCAUGAAACUUUAGACUCAAGUUUAAACCCUGCCUUCUUGGAUAAACUAAGUUUUUCUCAUCUGUCAAACAGGUGGAGUAACAUUUCACAGACUUAUUUGGAGUAUUGAAUAGGAUAACGAGUAUAUGAAUAUAUAGUGUCUUAUACCUAACAGGACAGAGUAACUCUUAAUAUUAGUUUUCUUCCCCUCUCCGUUUUACAGAUGGGUAAAUCAAGACCCAAAGGAGGAUAAAGCCCUAAGCAAAUCACCAGCUUUUUAAAAAUAUAUAAUUUUGGUUUUUAUUUAUUUUUGAUUGUGUUGGAUCUUUGUUGCUGCGAGGGCUUCUCUCUAGUUGUGGCAAACAGGGGCUGUUUUCAAGUUAUGGUGCUCAGGGUUCUCAUUGUGGUGGUUUAGAACCACAACCUCCUCAUUAGAUUUCCAGCUCCUUUCUAGUCCGGUCUCCUUUCUGACAUCAGAAUUCUCUUUCUAGAACAGAAAUCUGAUCCUGUCACUACUCUGCUCAAAAAUUCUGCAAGUUUCCUGAUUUGUACAGGAUGAAGUACUCUUAACCACAAAAAAAAGCAAAAAUAUAUUUUAAAAUGCAGGUACACAUCUGCCAGAUCAUAUAUAUAUGUGUGUGUGUAUAUAUAUAUAUAUAUAUACACACACAUAUAUAAUAUAUACUAAUAUAGUUUUCCAGGGCUGCUCUAACAGAUGCCAAAGACCGAGUGACUUAACAAAAGCUGAAAAUUCAAGAUCAAGGUGUUGGUUUCUCCUGAGGCCCCUCUCCUUGGUCUACAGAUGACUGCCUUCAAGCUGUGAUCUCCACAUGGUCCUUCCUCUGUGAGGUCAUGUUCCUACUGUUUCUUUUUGUGUCCAAAUGUCCUCUUACUAAAAGGACACAUGUUAGGAUUUCCCUAGUGGCCCAGUGGUGAAGAAUCCAUCUGCCAAAGUAGGCGAACACAGGUUCGCUUCUUGGUCCAGGAAGAUCCUACAUGCCGCAGAACAACCAAGCCUGGGUGCUGAACUACUGAGCCUGAGCUCUAGAGCCUGAGAGCCACAACUACUGAGCCCACAUGCUGCAGUUACUGAAGCCCAAGCACCCUAGAGCCUGUGCUUGGCAACAAGAGAAGUCACUGCAAUGAGAAGCCUGAGCGUCCCAACUAGACAAAGCCCAUGACAUGCAUCAGUGAAGACCCAGCACAGCAAAAAGAAAACUAAAAAAUGGGACACAUGUCAGAUCAGAUUAAGGUCCACUCUAACAGCCUAUUUUAACUUAAUCAUCUUUUUCUUUAUAAAUCACCUCUUUAAAGGCCCUAUUUCCAAUUCUAGUCACAUUCUGGGGUACU
rnacentral:lncRNA from 1 species